ACCCUUGAAAGUGGAAGAUCUGCGACUGAUUGUUUCACUAAUGAGGGUUUGGUUCUGAAGCAUCUGUGACAUCGAUGAAACACAGACUUCGUCAAGUUGCGUCCACCGAUGAUCCAAAAACGUUGACGGAGUAUCGAUAACAAAAGUUCCGGACCGGCAUGCAGGUGAUUCUGGUGGUAUGCCUGUGCCAACAAUACUGCCAAUUGAUGCUUGGAAGAAAGCAAUAUUGGAUGUUUUGACGAUUCUUCGAGUUGCGCAUUGCGUAGCCGGCCACCAACACGCAUUAAUCCCGCCUGGUCGAUGAAUGGGGAUAACCAUUUUAGUCGCGAGCUACGUGGUAUCUGUCUUCCAUUGGCAAUCUCGAUCCGCUCGUCCGGGAACGAAUCCUGCUGCGCUAAUAGACACAACUGAAGCUCGGCUCGGUGUAACUCGUUGCUUGUCAGAGGUGGUACUGUGACGAUGAGUGAAUGAAUGGAGCGAUGCGUAUUGUUUGCUGACCCCGUUGAUGAUUUGCUCGACUUCAUGCACGCAAUGAAACGCAAACAAUAUGCCGUAGUUCGACGUAGUCGCAGGUUCUCCUUUUGGCCAUGCGUCUUCUUUGCUGCUCAGCCAAUACGGUCCGUGCCACCACCGAUGGCAUGAUAGUAAUUUAUCAGGAAGCAGACCGCGCGACACAUCGUCUGCUGGGUUGUCCACACCCGGAACAUGACGCCAGCAUUUUAUUUUUGUUUCUGCCUGAAUUUGUGCUACUCUAUUUGCAACGAAUGGCUUCCAACGCCUUGGUGGUGAGUUUAGCCAGUGUAAGACGGUCAUUGAAUCAGUCCAGCAAAAGGCUUCGCAAA